rnacentral:rRNA from 1 species
AGCAGCCGCGGUAAUUCCAGCUCCAAUAGCGUAUAUUAAAGUUGUUGCAGUUAAAAGCUCGUAGUUGAAUUUCGGGGUUAGUACGCUGGUCGUGCCUUCGGUAUGUACUGGUGUUACUGGUUCCUACCUUCUGACGAACCGUCAUGUCAUUAAUUUGGUGUGGCGGGGAAUCAGGACUGUUACUUUGAAAAAUUAGAGUGUUUAAAGCAGGCUCGCGCUUGAAUACAUUAGCAUGGAAUAAUGAAAUAGGACGUUCGAUCCUAUUUUGUUGGUUUCUAGGAUUGACGUAAUGAUUAAUAGGGAUAGUUGGGGGCAUUAGUAUUCAAUUGUCAGAGGUGAAAAUUCUUGGAUUUAUUGAAGACUAACUACUGCGAAAGCAUUUGCCAAGGAUGUUUUCAUUAAUCAAGAACGAAGUUAGGGGAUCGAAGACGAUCAGAUACCGUCGUAGUCUUAACCAUAAAACUAUGCCGACUAGGGAUCGGAUGAUGUUAUUUUUAAUGACUCCCUCGGCGCCUUAUCG